rnacentral:tRNA from 1 species
GCCCCGUUCGUCUAGCCCGGUUAAGGAUAGUGGCCUUUCAAGCCAUUGACGCGGGUUCGAAUCCCGCACGGGGCA